AGAAGAGGCUCCCACUUUCCUUAAAGGCCAUCCUCUUAAUUCAACUGCGAUUUUAAUCAACUGGAAAAAUAUACCUCCUUCUCGACAUAAAGGGCAAAUGUUGGCUUAUAGGAUUCAAUACCGGAGCUUCGGGUCCGAGCUCUAUAAAGAAGCAAAUACGACUACCAACUUGGCUCAGGAUGUUAUUACAGAUCUCCAUCCAAACACCAUCCAAAUGAAAUUGGCCACGGGCGAACUAGCAAGGUCCUUGUCAUAAGAACCCUUUCUUUCGGUUCAGAAAUAUUUGAGGUUGACUUUCAGCUGAUAAUCGACUCUGAUUUUACCAGCGAUCUACUCAACAGUAGCAGUAAAAGGUUCUUGGAGAUGGCCGAAGUCAUUAAAGUUUCAAUAAAACACCAUUUCAAUAAAUCUUCUUUUUUGAAGAUAUAUGACGUCAUAACUAUACUUUUCAGGUAAGCUAGAGUGACCAUUUUUACCCUCGUUUAAACCCUUGUUUAACUUGGCUAAUUUUCGGUUUCUAGACACUGCCACUUUCAAAAUGAGGCCAAGUCAAGAACAUGAUUUGUUUAAAAUCAAAUUCUUUGCAUAAGAAUAAAAUUUCAUUCCAUAUCUCAGACUGCGGUUUUGAUCGCCCACACAUCUUGAAACAGAAGCUGCGAGCACCUUGCAGUUUGCCAGCUCUCAUGAUCAAUAUUAACUUACUUAUCGCUAAUUAGUCCUUUUUUGAGUUUGGCUUGCCAUUCUCUUUAGAAAUGACAGCCUAAGGGCAGACAUUAAAGUCCUUGUAACAAUAAAUAUAAAAACAACGCACGAAGAUGAUGCUCUUAAUCAGUUAAUAGGAGGGGUGCGUUCAUCCUUUGGAGAUCGGCUUAAAGUUACUUCCAUACUUGUUCAGGGUAAGUAAGGCUUUGUCAAGAUCAUCUAAAUAAUUGGAAUAACUCAAAAUAUUGCCAGUUAUGU